UGCCAAAGACAGCAGUCUUCCAGUUAAAGGACAAGAUCAGCUGGACAAGAUUUACAGUCCACAGAAAAGUCUGAGAAAAGCCUGAUUGAUUUUGAUCCGCUGAAUAAUUAACACACAAGUGAGAGACAAAAAGCCACCAACAGGGGUCUUGAUCCACAACAGUUGUUAAGGAGCAUCCUUACAGUGCAGCUAAUAGGAAGCAAGUCAAAGAGGACAGCUGGUCAUAACCAUAAGGAACUCAGGGCAGCAGCUGAACAUGUACUGGAAGCCAUUUCCUGAGACAGUCACACCCCUCCCAUCACAGAUCCACACCAGAAGUUUCUCAAUGGACCAGAAGCAGCUGAAGACAGACAAGUGUGAAUAUAAGCCUAUGCUGGGUGUUGCAUUUGGCAGAUUUAAAGGCAAGAGCAAGCAUCAGUUUUCAUGCAAAAAGGCUCCACCCACACCCUAAAACCAGAUGAUUUUAGCUUUUUGCUUACUAUUCUCGAGAAGUAUAUUUUCAACUAGCAACCAAAAACUCAACUUAACAACAAGACUUUCCACAGAAGAAUACCAUUCAUUUCCAUUGCAUCUUUCCCAAGGGAGGGGAGCAGGGGAGAGAA